UUUGCGUGUGUUCCCAAGAUGCAGAGGAAGCCUAGGACGUGAUCAUCCAUGAUCAAACAUCACCACAGGGUCGUGCAUCACUUCCCCCUUCAGUGCCCAUGAAACUGCCUUUCUACACACAUCUGCCCUUAAGGCUGUCUUGGCCUUUGGGAAUGAAUUCCGGUCAUCUACCUUCUUUCCUCACCAUUUGCGUGUGUUCUCAGGCCCUGUAGGAUGAUUUGGGUGAUAACAUCACGGAUCAAAGCCACCAGAAAGUCGUUCAUAACUUCCCCCCUUGAUCUCUCCCAAAACUGCCUCUUUAUGGCCUUCACACCACCAUGGGUCUUGGAUUGGG
rnacentral:lncRNA from 1 species